GGCUUUUUGCAAUAAGGACUUUAAGAUCUGAGGAACUGAACAAUACUAGCCCAAAACAGGCAAGAACAAUACUUACACUUAUGAAGUGCUAACACAGUUUUGCUGUCCUCACAGACUUAAAUUACAGUUUAACAUUGUUUUGUAAAAUAAUUAAUAGCGUAAGUACUGCUUUAUUUCCAUAAACUUUUGGAUUUAAACAUGAUUCAGCUUUUGAGUGUUCCACAGACAAAGUCUAAGGACAGGACUUCUGCAGAGGUCUGCAGUUUGCCUUUUUUCAGUAGCAUCUAAACAUCAGGAUUGAUGAUUUCUUUGAACUGUGGGCAGCAGCUUAGCAAAAUGUACAUAGCGUGCUAACACAUUGUUUUGUUGGGAAGUGUACGUCAUCCAAGAAAUUUUAAGAGUAAUGUCAUGCAUGGCAUUUGGAAGUAUUUCCCCACGGGUCUCUUUAACUCUGUGUUCUUCCAAAAGGAGGCAACGCCUUUGCGUUUCACCUGAUGGAAAACAAAUCCCUACUACUAGAGAAUAACAAUAGCACUGAUGGAGUGUAGCUGCCAAAUGCCACCACUUUCACUCUCACCACACAAUGAAAAUGGAAAAACAAUUCAACACAUGGAACCAUAGCAGCUUCCUGGGGAAAUGAUCUGUGCCAGUGGCUGCAGAAAGGAAACAGCCCACAAAGUGUUCCUUCUGGCUGAGGAUUGCCCUGUUCUUGUUCCUCUCCGUUCCCCAGUGCGUGGUUCUCAGGAAAACCUGCAGGUGAGGCUGUUCCAGCUGCCUGCACAGAGAGUGUAAGUGAUUUUAACAACCCCAAGGACCUUCAAGGUGGGUUGGUGGGUGGGAGCCACAUGGAUGUCUCUUUCAUUUCAUGCAACACAAAGAGUCUGGCCUUGGCUUUCUUGCAGCUGGUUCAAGAGCAAGCAUUGGCUUGAUAUAAAGUUGCUCAGUUGGCUAAGAAAAAUGGUUGAAUAUACAAGUAGGCUUUGCCACCUGGGUCAGAUUGUCACCAUCCUGCUGCUGGGAGGAAGCUUGAUAUUAAACAUAAAACCAAUGCAGAUGUAUCCUAAUGUGUCCUGAUGAUGAACUGUCAGGGCUUACACUCAGUUCAAGUCGAAUUUGUACUAAUGAGUGAUUCAGUAGUGCACCAAUCCAGUCUGCACAGUGCUGAGACCAAGGCUUGCAGGUCAGAUUGGUUGGGCUUCCACCCCUGCACACCAAUAUCACUGUCAGUAGCUGUAGCACAAGUGUGAGGUAGAUGGAAAUAAGACAGGAGCAGAUGCUUUGGCUGCCAGCUCAGGGACAGGUGGAAAAGUAGAGGUGAAUCAGUCAACUGUGGGAAGUUACAGCCCUGAGAUGCAAAUUCAGAAACUCCACAAAUAAAAUGAUUUGGGUUUUCUAUAGCGUUAUCAUCUCUGCCUUUGAAUGGCUGCAGAAAAGGAAAAUCAGCCUUGUUGGUCAAAGCCUUAACAUUAAACUGCUAUGUCAUUUUAGACUGUUCCUUCAUUUUAAUAUUUUUUCCAGAAUUAAAAUCACUGCUUCAUCAGAUCUUGUGUGUAUAUGGUGGAAAAAUACACAGCAUACCUCUUAACAUCUCUUUUCAUGAGAGAAACCAAAUUGUUUGUGUAGGUGCUUGUUCUUUGUACUCUUGCUUUAAAGACAAGCUCAUGAAAGGGACGAGACCUUGUAGCAAAUUAGUGGUUCACUGGGGAAAGGACCCACCAUAUGCUCCUGGUAUCUAAACUGCUACCUGGCAGGCCUCAUCCAAAAACACAAGGCAGCUUUGCUACUUACGUGUUGAGAGAGGUUCCGGUUUGUAGCAAUUUAUUCUAGCAGUUGUUGAACCAUGCUGGAAAGGAUUUCAAUAGAUAUUAUGCAAGACUGUAGGCUCUUCCUGUGAAGUCUUAAAAUGUGAAAUACGGUAGCUGUCUGGGGAAAAACAAGCCCUUUUUGUUGCUCAGUUACACACAAAUUACAGACCAGUACAUUUUGCUCUAAUGACAGUCAAGUAAUAACUGUGGCAGUAAUAAAGACAGUGUAAUAGCUGAGUGAUGUAAUGCUAUUGAACAUGAGAGGGAGAUUUUCAGAGCAUUAUCCCAUUUCCACAAUCACUCUUGUAGACUAAACAAGCCAAGUGCUUAAAAACUUCUGCUGGGAUUUGCCUUUCUGAACCACUCUUUUUGGUUUUACUUCUCCCCUGGGCUUUCCUCAGCUGUGUCUGUCCUACACCCCAAACCAGAAGCAUAUUCCAACUGAUACAUCAUUGCUACUGAGUAGACCAGACUUCCUCCCCAGUCUCUCCUGUUAUGUGUUAUGUUCCUCUUUUUAAUAAACUCCAGAUUGUUAGAUUGUUAUCUGCUUUUUUUUUUUUUUUCUUUAAAUAGUUUCACACGGUUAGCUCAAUAAUUGUCACUGUAACUUUGACAUCCUUUUCUGCCCUACUGCUGCUGGUCUGGCAUUCUUUUGAUUGUUUUGUGCAUUUGAAGAUUUCUUUUCAAGUCCAAAUGUGAUUUUUUUUGUACUUGGCUGUACUGAAUUUUAUCUUGGUGGUUUUUGACCACUUCUCCAAUCUAUUAAGACCACCUUGAGUUCUGCUCAGCUCUUCAGGGUGUUUCAUUCUCCUUGCAGGUUAGUGUCUUUGCAGUUUCAGUAGGAGUACUUGCUGGAUUUUGGCCCUGGUCAGGAGGAGAAGCACUGAGAUAAAUUUCCUAAUCUGUCAGGAGAGGAAGAGCAACCUCAGGAAAAGGUUUCAGGCACACAGGACAGCUCCAUCAUCCUGGAAUAUAGUGAUCAACAUUAGUAUGCCUACUUUCUGAUAAUCUCAUAUUUAUGCAGGUAAAGUACCUGAGGUGCAGUUCCUAAGAAUGAAAAGGAAAGCCUGAUAGACUUUGAUAAAGAUUUCUCUGGAAAACAAAAGGAAAAAAAAAAAAACAAAACAAACAAA